UGUAAUCAGGUUUUGAACCCAAACCUUUAGUCUGAAACAAAAAUAACUUUGGUUCAAAAUUAAGAGUCAUUGUGUCAGUGGACCUCGAAUGUAGUCUGUACAUGAAGUAGAAGGUCUCAUUUGUUGUUUGCGGUCUUAGAGCGCCACCUACUGGUCCCAUCACUUCAUAAUAUGCGGCUUCACAUUUUCUUCUGGUCUUCAUAGUGGAUAAGAGAGUCGUAGUUCGCCCGUUGUUAAGGAGUAAGAUCGCUGGCAAACUACUAGUGCGUGCUCAUCUUUACCUGUGAGCCCAAUGACGUCGUUUCUUGGAUUUAGAUGUAGAUUUUGCGGUUGUAUUCUCACAAACCACACACGGCAUCACGACAUCAUGCUUUUUAUGUGUGAUUUAAUCUGUAUGUAAAUGUAUGAAAACAGACUUUUGUGUACAACAAAUAUGUUUAUGUACAGAUGUCCGAAAAACAACGUCAUUGGGCUCACAGGUAAACUGCAUCGAGUAAGAGACCAAUCGAUUCGGCGUAGUGUGCAUGCGUCCUCUCCAGCGCCCCCAUCUCAACUGUUGGCGGGCAGCAAGACGGCUGAAGCAGUAAGAGGAAGCUCGACUGCGUCUCUGGUACAGCUUUCAUUCUUCUCUCUGGUCUUUUCCAGGGUUCUUCCAGGAGGAAGUGAAGGGGACAAGACGUUUUGCACCAUAUACUCAUCCACGUCGACAGGAGAGGUAGAACUACGGCUUACGCUGGCUGGACUUGGGAAACGCUCAUAGGUGAAAACAUCACUCAUUCAGAGGUGCAUGUGUACCAGUCCCACUUGGUGAAAUCAGCAUCAGUCAUGGCAAGAGAGAUUCCCCUUCAGGUCCUGAUCAUGGAUCGUCUGAUAACCUCCUUCACCAAAACAUCUCUCAGAGCAGGGCAGAGUAGCAGAGCCAUGACGGUUCAGUGUUAGUGAAGGAGAUGCUGGUCCAGAGCCUGGAAGAGAGAAUGAAGACAACUCAAAUGGAACAAAUAACAAUGAGGAAAUGUAGCAGCCAGUAGCAGACACACAGCACUGUACAGUAACCGGAGAGCACGAACGCAGUCGCCCACUACCAG